GACGAACGCUGGCGGCGUGCUUAACACAUGCAAGUCGAACGGAAAGGCCCUGCUUUUGUGGGGUGCUCGAGUGGCGAACGGGUGAGUAACACGUGAGUAACCUGCCCUUGACUUUGGGAUAACUUCAGGAAACUGGGGCGAAUACCGGAUAGGAGCUCCUGCUGCAUGGUGGGGGUUGGAAAGUUUCGGCGGUUGGGGAUGGACUCGCGGCUUAUCAGCUGGUUGGUGGGGUAGUGGCUUACCAAGGCUUUGACGGGUAGCCGGCCUGAGAGGGUGACCAGCCACCUUGGGCCUGCGAUACGGCCCAGACUCCUACGGGAGGCAGCAGUCGGGAAUAUUGCACAACGGGCGGAAGCCUGAUGCAGCAACGCCGCGUGCGGGAUGCCGGCCUUCGGGUUGUAAGCCGCUUUCGCCUGUGACGAAGCGUGAGUGACGGUAAUGGGUAAAGAAGCACCGGCUAACUACGUG
rnacentral:rRNA from 1 species